GCCAAUGAGGUACACGCCGCGUGAGGGAGGAGGUCUUUGGAUUGUAAACCUCUUUUCUCAAGGAAGAAGUUCUGACGGUACUUGAGGAAUCAGCCUCGGCUAACUCCGUGCCAGCAGCCGCGGUAAUACGGGGGAGGCAAGCGUUAUCCGGAAUUAUUGGGCGUAAAGCGUCCGCAGGUGGUCAGCCAAGUCUGCCGUCAAAUCAGGUUGCUUAACGACCUAAAGGCGGUGGAAACUGGCAGACUAGAGAGCAGUAGGGGUAGCAGGAAUUCCCAGUGUAGCGGUGAAAUGCGUAGAGAUUGGGAAGAACAUCGGUGGCGAAAGCGUGCUACUGGGCUGUAUCUGACACUCAGGGACGAAAGCUAGGGGAGCGAAUGGGAUUAGAUACCCCAGUAGUC
rnacentral:rRNA from 1 species